AUACUUACCUGGCAGGGGAGAUACCAUGAUCACGAAGGUGGUUUUCUCAGGGCGAAGAUUAUCCAUUGCACUCCGAAUUUGCUGACCCCUGCAAUUUCCCCAAAUGUGGAAAACACAACUGCAUAAGUUGUGGCAGUCUCCCCUGGUUUUCAGCUGUU
rnacentral:snRNA from 1 species